AUCCCUCAAAUCCCAAUGUUUUGCAAAACUCAUUGCUUGGAUUUGGUCAUGGGCCGACUUUGCUACUUUAUUGUUAGCUGGCCUUAAAGACAUUAGCUUGGACUUUCGAACCUUUUCGGAAGGGUCUCCAUAUGAUGUGAUAAAUUUACGUCGAUGGGCUAAUGACUCUACUGUUGUUAAUGGUUUUGAAAACGAAUAGUCUAGCUUUCUAACCCGGCGAAGAGUUCCAUCUCUGACCCACUUUUUCAUUUAACU
rnacentral:misc_RNA from 1 species